GAGAAAUACACAUUUCACUACCAUUAUCCUUGAAGAUCAUGGUGCACUUCUCCUAAAUAUUUGAAAUGUAGAUAUUCAAGAAGGUUGGCUAUGCCUCAGGUACUCCAUAUUCCAAAGGCUCUGAAGAGAAUGAGCUCUUAACCUCCUUAAUCCUCUGGAAAGUCACAUCCAGCAUGGGUCCAGAUCAGGUAACCUGGAACAUACGAGAAGCCUCCGGUUGGUCUCUCACCUGGGACAUUAAAAUCCUAACCCUGCUCCAGGGCAUGCCU
rnacentral:lncRNA from 1 species